rnacentral:rRNA from 1 species
GGAUGAACGCUAGCGACAGGCUUAACACAUGCAAGUCGAGGGGCAGCACAGGUAGCAAUACCCGGUGGCGACCGGCGCACGGGUGAGUAACGCGUAUGCAACUUACCUAUCAGAGGGGGAUAACCCGGCGAAAGUCGGACUAAUACCGCAUGAAGCAGGGGUCCCGCAUGGGGAUAUUUGCUAAAGAUUCAUCGCUGAUAGAUAGGCAUGCGUUCCAUUAGGCAGUUGGCGGGGUAACGGCCCACCAAACCGACGAUGGAUAGGGGUUCUGAGAGGAAGGUCCCCCACAUUGGUACUGAGACACGGACCAAACUCCUACGGGAGGCAGCAGUGAGGAAUAUUGGUCAAUGGGCGUAAGCCUGAACCAGCCAAGUCGCGUGAGGGAUGAAGGUUCUAUGGAUCGUAAACCUCUUUUAUAAGGGAAUAAAGUGCGGGACGUGUCCCGUUUUGUAUGUACCUUAUGAAUAAGGAUCGGCUAACUCCGUGCCAGCAGCCGCGGUAAU